rnacentral:rRNA from 1 species
AACGAACGCUGGCGGCAGGCUUAACACAUGCAAGUCGAACGCUCCGCAAGGAGAGUGGCAGACGGGUGAGUAACACGUGGGAACGUACCCUUUACUACGGAACAACUCCGGGAAACUGGAGCUAAUACCGAAUGUGCCCUUUGGGGGAAAGAUGUAGCGGUAAAGGAUCGGCCCGCGUUGGAUGAGCUAGUUGGUGGGGUAAAGGCCUACCAAGGCGACGAUCCAUAGCUGGUCUGAGAGGGUGAUAAGCCACAUUGGGACUGAGACACGGCCCAAACUCCUAAGGGAGGCAGCAGUGGGGAAUAUUGGACAAUGGGCGCAAGCCUGAUCCAGCCAUGCCGCGUGUGUGAUGAAGGCCUUAGGGUUGUAAAGCACUUUCACCGGAGAAGAUAAUGACGGUAUCCGGAGAAGAAGCCCCGGCUAACUUCGUGCCAGCAGCCGCCGUAA